CGGAGGAAAAGAAACCAACUGGGAUUACCUUAGUAACGGCGAGUGAAGCGGUAAAAGCUCAAAUUUGAAAUCUGGUACUUUCAGUGCCCGAGUUGUAAUUUGUAGAAUUUGUCUUUGAUUAGGUCCUUGUCUAUGUUCCUUGGAACAGGACGUCAUAGAGGGUGAGAAUCCCGUUUGGCGAGGAUACCUUUUCUCUGUAAGACUUUUUCGAAGAGUCGAGUUGUUUGGGAAUGCAGCUCAAAGUGGGUGGUAAAUUCCAUCUAAAGCUAAAUAUUGGCGAGAGACCGAUAGCGAACAAGUACAGUGAUGGAAAGAUGAAAAGAACUUUGAAAAGAGAGUGAAAAAGUACGUGAAAUUGUUGAAAGGGAAGGGCAUUUGAUCAGACAUGGUGUUUUUUGCAUGCACUCGCCUCUCGUGGGCUUGGGCCUCUCAAAAAUUUCACUGGGCCAACAUCAAUUCUGGCAGCAGGAUAAAUCAUUAAGAAUGUAGCUACUUCGGUAGUGUUAUAGCUUUUUGGAAUACUGUUAGCCGGGAUUGAGGACUGCGCUUCGGCAAGGAUGUUGGCAUAAUGGUUAAAUGCCGCCCGUCUU
rnacentral:rRNA from 1 species